UCCGCGCAAACGUUUACGUGCUGUAUAUGUCUAGUGAAUUGGACUGGAUGUUUCUACCACCGAGCCUAUCUUGGUGACUACAGUGAAUUUUGGUGUGCUU
rnacentral:ncRNA from 1 species